rnacentral:rRNA from 1 species
AACCCGACUACAUGAAGCUGGAAUCGCUAGUAAUCGCAGGUCAGCAUACUGCGGUGAAUACGUUCCCGGGUCUUGUACACACCGCCCGUCACACCAUGGGAGCCGGAAAUGCCCGAAGCCAGUGACCCAACCUUAGGGAGGGAGCUGUCGAAGGUGGAGCCGGUAACUGGGGUGAAGUCGUAACAAGGUAGC